rnacentral:lncRNA from 1 species
AUACAAAAAAAUUAGCCGGGCGUGGUAGCGGGUACCUGUAGUCCCAGCUACUCAGGAGGCUGAGACAGAAGAAUGGCUUGAACCCAGGAGGCAGNNNNNNNNNNAAAAAAAAAAAAAAAAAGGAUCCCGGGGAAAGUUGGCAGCUUAGAAAACACGCCCAGUGGGAAGGGCAGGGGGCCACAGGCGGCCUCCAGAUCCGGUCUUCGGUCCUCGGGCUGGGGUGGGGACCCGNNNNNNNNNNGCCCGUGCAGUGCCCACCUGUGGGAGUGAGGGGCAGGGGGGCACCCGAGCACCGGGAGGAGGGGACCGGUCCCCGAAAUGACCACGCGCCCUCGCUCGGUGCCUCCACUGGCCACCCCCCCACACACAGGCGCAGGCAUGCGGGGGUCCAGGGAUCCCAGCCCAGGGCCAGCCCACUCCUGUAGCUACACCAGUGGAGCCCCAGCUCCGAGACACUUCCCCGAGAGGGUAUCCCACCCAGGCGCCCCGCUGGAAAACGCCGGUUCCUCUGCCUUCUCACACACCCCAGAGACCCGGGAAGCCGAGGGCAGCCCCUCUCCCUCCAGCGGUAACUCGGGACCUGCGCAGUGGCGGGGGGCUCAGGACACCCCUGGAGGCCCUUGGGAAGGGCGGGGGUGGGGGGGCACCGG